rnacentral:rRNA from 1 species
CCUACGGGAGGCAGCAGUAGGGAAUCUUCCACAAUGGGCGCAAGCCUGAUCGAGCAACACCGCGUGCGUGAAGAAGGGUUUCGGCUCGUUAAGCUCUGUUGUUGGAGAAGAACGUGCGUGAGAGUAACUGUUCACGCAGUGACGGUAUCCAACCAGAAAGUCACGGCUAACUACGUGCCAGCAGCCGCGGUAAUACGUAGGUGGCAAGCGGUAUCCGGAUUUAUUGGGCGUAAAGGGAGCGCAGGCGGUUGCUUAGGUCUGAUGGGAAAGCGUUCGGAUUAACCGAAGAAGUGCAUCGGAAACUGGGUGACUUGAGUGCAGAAGAGGACAGUGGAAUUCGAUGUGUAGCGGUGAAAUGCGUAGAUAUAUGGAAGAACACCGGUGGCGAAGGCAGCUGUCUGGUCUGCAACUGACGCUGAGGCUCGAAAGCAUGGGUAGCGAACAGGAUUAGAUACCCGUGUAGUC